AGCCAUGAUGGGAGAAUCUGGAUAUAAGUGAGAUAGUCCUUUCAGGAAUCUUUUUAUUAUAGGGUUGCGGAACCAGGAGCGAGAGUGUAACGGGGAAUGGGCGACAAUGGUGGCCAAAUGGACUCUCAGUGACAAUAAUUUCAGGCCAGAUUCCUUAAGGGCUAGGAGAUAGGUGCAGAUGUGUUGAGCAGACACCUGUGUAGAGGAAACAUCCUUGGAUUCUAGAAACAUAAGAAAAUACUUCCAUUUGUGACUGUAUGAUUUUACUGUUGCAGGUCUGUGAGCUGCCGAAAGGACUCAGAGUUCUAGUGGGAAAGAGGCUUGAUCCACCAUGCAUGAGACGAAGUUGUGGCAAGUCGGGAUAGAGAAGAUACCUGGGCUGCUGGGUGAGAAAAUUAGGAACCUCUGGGCUAGAGAUGCCAUGGAUUCCUUUGGGUUCAAUGUCGUCGGGAUCGAAGUGGACGGUACGGUGGGAAUGGUAGGAGCCAUAGGCUCUGGAAGCAGUUUGGGUCCUGGCACCGAGGCGCCGAACAAGUUGUUGUAUACCACCCAGAGCCUCUGGAUGGGGCAGUUUAUAAAUGUAAGAAAGAAAGAAAGAAAGAAAGAAAGAAAGAAAGAAAGAAAGAAAGAAAGAAAGAAAGAAAGAAAGAAAGAAAGACGCUAGCAAACAGAGAGAAGAGAUGACAAAAUCAAAAGAGAAAGAAAGAAAAGAGCAAGAUUAGAAGGAUAAUUAUUUGGAAAAGGCAAUUUAGCUUGGAGCUACUCGAAGAGAAGUCAAACUGUGGAUGAAGAAAGACUGAGGAAGGAGUUGCACACACAGCUGAAUAUCACCAGAUGGGGCAGGGCUGCUGCCUAAAUGCUAUAGAAGGAAUUAAGCUUGGAAAAACUCAGAUGAGGUCUCUGCGCAGGAGCACAGCCCAAUCGUAUAGAACUUAGAGACCACGUUGCAGAACAGCUGUGACUAAUGAGUUGGGCCACCAACGGAGGAAUAGAACAGAACUUCCCAUACUGGGGCUGGAGGCAACAGAGGGCCUGGAAGGAGAGAUGCUAUCUCUGGGGAGACUCUAGGCUAGCACUCUAUUGGCCUUUCCAAAGGAAAAGUGGGAGACUGGAGUAGAGCAAGAAGACAGUACUGGAGAAGGCAAGGUAUGCAAUGAUCAAGGCUGGUGGGGAUGGAAACAGCUCCUCAACACACUUUCUACACCUUGCAGCUUGGGAAAGAGGUCUGGGAUAAGAGAUGUGGGGGGGCAAGAAAAGUUGCUUGGGGCACUUUGUGAGCUAAGAUGGGGGACAGCAGCCCACCAUGCAGUUCUUGCCAACAGACUGUUGGGGUGGGAGGAAGCCCAAUCUACAUACAGUGAACUCAACCCAGAAUAAUCCUUUUGGCAUUCCUGCUAGUGAGUUCUCUUCAUAUUGAUGUCUAUAUGUUUGCAGUAGUUUGAGCUUCUGAUCCAUGUCUUGCCAAGCCUUGUGUUAGGAGUCCCCUCUCCUCUGAUCUUGAAGUAGCAUUGUUAAAAGCUGCUUACAGCUCAGCAAAAAAUAGUAAUUUUAAGCUAAGGAUAUACAACAACAUCUGAAGAUUUUUUAAAAGAGAGGGGAAAACAGGAAUUAAAAACCCCACAACCUGUGGAAACAGAGCAAUUCCAUGGAGCAAUUGCUCACCAAUCUUCCAGCUGGGAUGAACAGCAGCUAUUAAAAAACAGGCAGAAUCUACAAAGAGGAAGGGUUUAGUUUAAAGGUUUAUUGCCCUGAGAAGCUUUCAUAGUGCUUUGUCUGUCCAUACUGGAGAGGCUGGAGCUUCAAUUGCAUUUUAUUAUUACACACACUAAA